GACGAACGCUGGCGGCGUGCUUAACACAUGCAAGUCGAACGGAAAGGCCCUGCUUUUGUGGGGUGCUCGAGUGGCGAACGGGUGAGUAACACGUGAGUAACCUGCCCUUGACUUUGGGAUAACUUCAGGAAACUGGGGCUAAUACCGGAUAGGAGCUCCUGCUGCAUGGUGGGGGUUGGAAAGUUUCGGCGGUUGGGGAUGGACUCGCGGCUUAUCAGCUUGUUGGUGGGGUAGUGGCUUACCAAGGCUUUGACGGGUAGCCGGCCUGAGAGGGUGACCGGCCACAUUGGGACGGAGAUACGGCCCAGACUCCUACGGGAGGCAGCAGUGGGGAAUAUGGCACAAUGGGCGGAAGCCUGAUGCAGCAACGCCGCGUGCGGGAUGACGGCCUUCGGGUUGUAAACCGCUUUCGCCUGUGACGAAGCGUGAGUGACGGUAAGGGGUAAAGAAGCACCGGCUAACUAC
rnacentral:rRNA from 1 species